GAUGAACGCUGGCGGCGUGCCUAAUACAUGCAAGUCGAGCGAACGGGCGAGAAGCUUGCUUCUCUGAUGUUAGCGGCGGACGGGUGAGUAACACGUGGAUAGCCUACCUAUAAGACUGGGAUAACUUCGGGAAACCGUAGCUAAUACCGGAUAAUAUUUUGAACCGCAUGGUUCAAAAGUGAAAGACGGUCUUGCUGUCACUUAUAGAUGGAUCCGCGCUGCAUUAGCUAGUUGGUAAGGUAACGGCUUACCAAGGCAACGAUGCAUAGCCGACCUGAGAGGGUGAUCGGCCACACUGGAACUGAGACACGGUCCAGACUCCUACGGGAGGCAGCAGUAGGGAAUCUUCCGCAAUGGGCGAAAGCCUGACGGAGCAACGCCGCGUGAGUGAUGAAGGUCUUCGGAUCGUAAAACUCUGUUAUUAGGGAAGAACAUAUGUGUAAGUAACUGUGCACAUCUUGACGGUACCUAAUCAGAAAGCCACGGCUAACUACGUG
rnacentral:rRNA from 1 species